UCCCUUCCCCAGAGGCUGAUGCCCACCUCC
rnacentral:piRNA from 1 species